GAUGAACGCUGGCGGCGUGCCUAAUACAUGCAAGUCGAGCGAACGGACGAGAAGCUUGCUUCUCUGAUGUUAGCUGCGGACGGGUGAGUAACACGUGGAUAACCUACCUAUUAGACUGGGAUAACUUCGGGAAACCAUAGCUAAUACCGGAUAAUAUUUUGAACCGCAUGGUUCAAAAGUGAAAGACGGUCUUGCUGUCACUUAUAGAUGGAUCCGCGCUGCAUUAGCUAGUUGGUAAGGUAACGGCUUACCAAGGCAACGAUGCAUAGCCGACCUGAGAGGGUGAUCGGCCACACUGGAACUGAGACACGGUCCAGACUACUACGGGAGGCAGCAGCAGGGAAUAUUCCGAAAUGGGCGAAAGCUUGACGGAGCAACACCGCGUGAGUGAUGAAGGUCUUCGGACCGUAAAAAGCUGUUAUUAGGGAAGAACAUAUGUGUAAGUAACUGUGCACAUAUUGACGGUACCUAAUCAGAAAGCCACGGCUAACUACAUG
rnacentral:rRNA from 1 species